UACGAAGGGGGCUAGCGUUGCUCGGAAUCACUGGGCGUAAAGCGCACGUAGGCGGGUCUUUAAGUCAGGGGUGAAAUCCUGGAGCUCAACUCCAGAACUGCCUUUGAUACUGAGGACCUCGAGUCCGGGAGAGGUGAGUGGAAUUCCUGGUGUAGCGGUGGAAUGCGCAGAUAUCAGGAGGAACACCAAUAGCGAAGGCAGCUCGCUGGGACGGUACUGACGCUGAGGCGCGAAAGCCAGGGGAGCAAACGGG
rnacentral:rRNA from 1 species